CGGGGCCCGGCGUGAGCGGGGCCCGGCGUGAGCGGGGCCGGCAGCGGCCGCAGUGGCACCUGCUGUAGGGGCCGGGUAGCGCCGGGGUCCAAACGCCAUUUGGCAGCGUUUGGGGACCGUUUAGCACACUCUGCCCGCCACCCUCUGAUGGGAUUUCGGCUGCAUUGCGAACCCUUACAGCGGUAGUUCUGCCUGCCUGAGCACUUGGCCCGUUAAGCAAAGGGACAGAUUUCUGCAGACAGCUUCCCAGAGGCUCAGCACAAGGCUGUGCAGCACUCACUGGGGUGGUCUGUGUGGAGCCCUCAUUCAGAACUGUUAAAACCAGCAGACAUUCAGGCAAGCAGACCAAGACUGGGAAUGCUAAAUGUUGCACACUCAAAACCAUAUGAGCAAAAGUGGAACUCAUACAGGAAAGAUAGGAAUGGCUGAUUUUGAAGUAGAAAGACAAAAGAACUUAUUGAUAGCACAAGGGGAAAGACACACACAUUGAGGGUGUGCAAGAAGUGUUUAAAGACACGUUCAACAACUGGUAUUCAGACGUGAAGAAGAAAUUCUGCAGUAAACACAGCUGGAGACAGAACAUAAAGACAAAUGUCCCUAUUGCUCUGACACUUGGAUAGAAAGAACAGCCCUGCGGGCUGACCAGCAAGGAUGCUGCUCGGUUUAUCCUGCCCCCGCCGGAGAUCCAUCCUGCCCCCGCCGGAGAUCCAUCCUGCCCCCGCCGGAGAUCCAUCCUGCCCCCGCCGGAGAUCCAUCCUGCCCCCGCCGGAGAUCCAUCCUGCCCCGGCAGCAGCGCUCGGGCUUUCCGCGGGCUCGCAGCUGCGUCCAACAGCAGAGGGAGCUCCGGGAGAGGAAGAGGAGCAGGCGAAGCUUGGCAGGAGCAGCCCCAGGAAGGAGGGAGGAGGGCAGGGGUGGACGGAGGUAACUGCAGGCUGCUCUGCUGCACCAGCUGGCUUCCUUGGACUAAACUUGGACACCUGCUGGACAAUGUCAUGCAGCAUGUCCUAGGUGGUCAGAGCCAGAAACAGCAACCUGGGAAGAGCUGCCCAAAAGUACUCAGACUUGAGCCUUGGGAAGACCAAACCUGAAACAGUGGGAGAAGUGUCUACUGGAAAAGUUUGAAAGAGGGUAUGGAGAGGUUUAAAUUAAAACCCAUUUGGGUUACCUUUAAAUACAUACCAAAACAAGCGAAAGAAAAAAACCAAACCAGCAACCCAGCAUAUGUUCUGUAGGAGGCAAGUCCUUCACACUUGUAUUUGCCCUGUCGGAAAGAGAAUCUUAAUUGGAUCCGGAUCUGCCCAGUUCCAGGUGUCUUCUCUCUCAGGUCCCCAGAGCCAUUUGUUUGUUUUGCUGGUGUGCCUCAGCCUGGCAGAGUAUCUUGAUUGCUAAGCAAAUGUGGAUUCAGCCAGCUCUGACCAGCUCUGGCAUCUAAAAAAAUCCUUUUUUCUUCCGCUUGAAUUUCUCUGCCAGCUGCCUUCAAGUCAGGAUUUCCCAGCCAGCAGCUCUUGUUAUUAUCUGUUUUCACUUGCCUUGAUGUUUACCAGAUUGGACUGCUUUUAUCUCUGUUAACCCUCCCUCACUGUGGAGCCCCAGUAUUACAUACCCUAUGUGCCUUGGCCACUGGGUCAGAGCAGAAAUAAGUAAAUAGAUAAUAAAAUCACCUUAUUGAGAAAACAGUGAGGUCUAAAAUAUUGGCCAAAAAUAACACAACUGAUGAUGAUCUCAGGGAAGAAAAUAGCUAGAAGGCCAAAUGAAGGUAUUAAAAAUCAAAGCUUAAAAUAAUUGACUCAUUAGCUCAUUAGACUAAAUCUGAGCUCUGCUAAAAUUCCCCACCAGAUGAAAACUCGGGUAUGAAAAUAGUGCCAAACAGCUGAGAGCAGGACAAGCUGGCCUGAUUUUUUCUGGUCUCAAGAGUGAAUUGUUGCUAAGAAGUGCUUUCAUUCGCAACCUUAGAUACAUCAUACAGUCAUUUAGAUCAGAAGGUCUGAUUAAAAAUGCAUCUAAAAAUAUAAAGGGGAAAUUCUCAAUCUUUAAAGGGCCAUAAAGCUAUUCUGAACAAGCACCAAAAAUCACUUCCCAUCUCUUCCAGUUCUUGAAAACGUGGGGAGGAAAUAAAAUAUGGAAAAGAUAAGCUCCUAUUUUUUUAAAAAAUUCAGUUCUUCAUCAAGACCAAUACACUUUCAAAAGUAAUAGAUUACAUCCAGGUAAAAGACCUGCAGGUCUGGUCUCGUGACGGUUCAGUGUUUAAGAAAUAUUUAAGGAUAUCGGUGGCUUUUCAGUUAAAGGAGGAAAAAAAAUUUCUAGUGGAUUUCAGGGUGAGGAUCAGGGUCAGUUCGGCUUCUUCCUCAGUGUCCUGUGUUUAGCCUCUGGAGCCGCCGUGGAGGAAUCCAUCCCUGCGGUCCCAGCGGUGCCGCCCCCCGCCCAAGCUAAAGCUGCCUUCGACUUUUUGGUUCCCUCAGGGGCUCAAGAUAGACAAA